rnacentral:rRNA from 1 species
CAGUCGCCGCGGGAAUACGGAGGGUGCAAGCGUUAAUCGGAAUUACUGGGCGUAAAGCGUGCGUAGGCGGUUCGUUAAGUCUGUUGUGAAAGCCCCGGGCUCAACCUGGGAAUGGCAAUGGAUACUGGCGAGCUAGAGUGUGUCAGAGGAUGGUGGAAUUCCCGGUGUAGCGGUGAAAUGCGUAGAGAUCGGGAGGAACAUCAGUGGCGAAGGCGGCCAUCUGGGACAACACUGACGCUGAGGCACGAAUGCGUGGGGAGCAAACAGGAUUAGAUACCCCGGUAGUCCCUGUCUCUUAUAC